GAUGAACGCUGGCGGCGUGCCUAACACAUGCAAGUCGAGCGAACAGAUGAGGAGUUUGCUCCUCUGACGUUAGCGGCGGACGGGUGAGUAACACGUGGAUAACCUACCUAUAAGACUGGGAUAACUUCGGGAAACCGGAGCUAAUACCGGAUAAUAUAUUGAACUGCAUGGUUCAAUAGUGAAAGACGGUUUUGCUGUCACUUAUAGAUGGAUCCGCGCCGCAUUAGCUAGUUGGUAAGGCAACGGCUUACCAAGGCAACGACGCGUAGCCGACCUGAGAGGGUGAUCGGCCACACUGGAACUGAGACACGGUCCAGACUCCUGCGGGAGGCAGCAGUAGAGAAUCUUCCGCAAUGGACGAAAGCCUGACGGAGCAACGCCGCGUGAGUGAUGAAGGUCUUCGGAUCGGAAAACUCUGUUAUUAGUGGAGAACAAAUGUGUAAGUAACUAUGCACGUCUUGACGGUACCUAAACAGAAAGCCACGGCUAACUACGUG
rnacentral:rRNA from 1 species